GACGAACGCUGGCGGCGUGCUUAACACAUGCAAGUCGAACGGAAAGGCCCUGCUUUUGUGGGGUGCUCGAGUGGCGAACGGGUGAGUAACACGUGAGUAACCUGCCCUUGACUUUGGGAUAACUUCAGGAAACUGGGGCUAAUACCGGAUAGGAGCUCCUGCUGCAUGGUGGGGGUUGGAAAGUUUCGGCGGUUGGGGAUGGACUCGCGGCUUAUCAGCUUGUUGGUGGGGUAGUGGCUUACCAAGGCUUUGACGGGUAGCCGGCCUGAGAGGGUGACCGGCCACAUUGGGACUGAGGUACGGCCCAGACUCCUACGGGAGGCAGCAGGGGGGAAUAUUGCACAAUGGGCGGAAGCCUGAUGCAGCAACGCCGGGGGCGGGAUGACGGCCUUCGGGUUGGAAACCGCUUUCGCCUGUGACGAAGCGUGGGUGACGGUAAUGGGUAAAGAAGCACCGGCUAACUACGUG
rnacentral:rRNA from 1 species